CAGUAGCCGCGGUAAUACGUAGGGUGCGAGCGUUAAUCGGAAUUACUGGGCGUAAAGCGUGCGCAGGCGGUUCGUUAAGACAGAUGUGAAAUCCCCGGGCUUAACCUGGGAACUGCAUUUGUGACUGACGGGCUAGAGUAUGGCAGAGGGGGGUAGAAUUCCACGUGUAGCAGUGAAAUGCGUAGAGAUGUGGAGGAAUACCGAUGGCGAAGGCAGCCCCCUGGGCCAAUACUGACGCUCAUGCACGAAAGCGUGGGGAGCAAACAGGAUUAGAUACCCGGGUAGUCCCUGUCUCUUAUAA
rnacentral:rRNA from 1 species